GUGGGGAAUAUUGGACAAUGGGCGAAAGCCUGAUCCAGCCAUGCCGCGUGUGUGAAGAAGGUCUUCGGAUUGUAAAGCACUUUAAGUUGGGAGGAAGGGCAGUAAAUUAAUACCUUGCUGUUUUGACGUUACCGACAGAAUAAGCACCGGCUAACUUCGUGCCAGCAGCCGCGGUAAUACGAAGGGUGCAAGCGUUAAUCGGAAUUACUGGGCGUAAAGCGCGCGUAGGUGGUUUUGUAAGUUGGAGGUGAAAUCCCCGGGCUCAACCUGGGAACUGCCUCCAAAACUGCAUGACUAGAGUACGGUAGAGGGUAGUGGAAUUUCCUGUGUAGCGGUGAAAUGCGUAGAUAUAGGAAGGAACACCAGUGGCGAAGGCGACUACCUGGACUGAUACUGACACUGAGGUGCGAAAGCGUGGGGAGCAAACAGGAUUAGAAACCCGGGUAGUCC
rnacentral:rRNA from 1 species